UUUUUUUUUAAAUGUAUGGAUACAAAAUUUAUAAACAAAUAUUGAUAACAAAACAUAAUGGUUUAAUUUGUAUAAUCCGAUCAGAUUCCAGUUACCUCCGCUACCAAAAGUGUUACAGUCCAUUUGUGGAUCGAUGCCCCUUCGAUUGACGUUUGCUGUGGAAUGUUGUCCACAAAUAAAUAUAUUGAAAGCAACAAUAUUUUGAGCGGUGUUAAUGAAUUAACUCAGAUAUAGUCUUUCAAAGACAAUAAAAUGGUACUGCGCUCGGGUAUAAUAAUUCCUUUUCAAUUUCGUGACAGUAAGAAACUUCUAAUGAUCGGAGUGCCUGAAGAGAACCGUAAUUUGAACAUUUGGGACUUGAGAAAUGUUGUUAGAGCUGCAUUUGGAAUUUAUAACUUUGAGUUUCGAAAUAAAAAGAUUGGAUUCAACAUACCGGAUGAGCUGCUUUUGCAUUAUUUGGCGCAACGCUAUGAUCUUACCAAUUUCGUUAUAGAAAUUGGACAAGCUAAUCUAAAUGAUGUACAAGAUAAUGGCAUCGCUGACUCGUCUUCUGCAGAGAACUUUGUUCCUACAGACUUUUCCUUACAAUUAAAUGAAAAUAUACACCUUGGAGAAGCUCGGGGAAUACAGUAUGGGGACCCCUUUGAUGGUAAACAUACUAAAUAUACAGAAGUUGUACCUAAUUCCGAUGGGCGAAAAGUGUUUGGAAGUGCUUCCGAAACCCUUAAUAAGGAGACUGCUUACCAAGGUUAUUCGCACCCAUCUGAAAGAUCUAAAUUGUCGGUUAUUACUGACGAGCAAACAAUUACAAAAUGUGAGCCGAGUGAUUGUGAAAUCGAAAAAACACGAACACUAAAAAAGCAAUUGUUUGAAAUCGACCAUGUACAAGAUCCGCAAAAUCAAGAAUUCCAAUUGUGUGACACAGGGCAUCCUUUUGAAAAUAGAGCCAACGCUGACAUUCCCUUUAAGAAAAUUAGUUACCAGCAACAUCAGUUUGCUUCAUGUUCAAUGAACCGCUUUAGAAGGAGGGGAGAGAGAAUGUCUAAAGACCAAAAGGAAAUGUAUGUUAAAUAUUUCGAAGAAAACCCAUGCAUGCAGUCUCAACGACGCAACGACUCUCUGCUAGAAUCGCAUUGGAAUAAAUUGGGUACGAUCUUAAACAAUAUACCACAAGGAGCGGUAAAAAACGUGGAGGAAUGGAAACAAACAUUUGAUGCUUGGCGGUACAGGGUGUUUAUGUACUAUCGCUACAAUUACAAACUCUCUGGCUCCGUUACGCACAAUGUAAAAACUUUCAAACCACUAACAUCCACCGAUCAGCGAGCGUAUUCAAUGUGGACUAGUUAUAAAACAACCUCCCUGCAACAAUCAGAUUAGCUGGGCACAUUUAGCAAAUCGGAAACUGAACAGCCAAAUUGCACUUAUUGAAUACCAAAGUAACCUUAAAAUAUACCUAUAAUGUACAAUGUCAUAAUUUACAAAAAUAAAAAUUCCAAUAAAUAUAAAAACUCGACUAAACAUGUUUACAUUUGUGUGAUGCUACAUGUACAUAUGUAGAUACUGUAAACUAUGUUUUAAAUGUUGUAUGUACAUUUUAUUCUUCUAUAUACAAUGCAGUUUAUGAUCCUUGCAAAGAAAACUUCACUUCAAUCGGGAGUUGUUCAACAUGUCGUUGUUCAGCAGCACAAAAGUCGUCUUUGGAAUUACAUGAUAACGCAGACACUCCCAUUUACCAUACAACAGUUAGUGGUCGUUCUAAUGCCAGCGGAACAAGUUCACAAAAUUCGCAGAAUGCUGAUGAAAUCCCCACAAUGAAAGUUCGUAUGCAGCAUUCGAAUAUACCUGCUAGUGACAUAAGUCAUAUGGAAAUAGAGCCGAAAAUUGACUAUGACUCGACAAUUAAUACGACUGGUUCCAACACUGAGGUAGACGGCUCUUCCCCUCCGCCGUUACCGGUCCACGCAAAAUCGAGUGUCUAUAUUGAUGAAGAACAUCAUCAACAGCAGCAACAAGAAUUACACUUGGAGCGUUUACAACACGAAUAUGCAUUGCAACACCACCAGCAACAACAACAUUUCGAGACUUUGAUGCAAGAGAAUACAACUGGAAAUAGCUUUAGGCAACGAAAAGAACGUAUGUCGAAAAAACAAAAAGAAAUAUACGUUAACUUUAUGGAGCAAAAUCCCGUCAUUAACGAACACCGUCGAAGUGAUCCUAUUUUGGAUCAAUAUUGGGUAAAAUUAGCAGAUAUUCUUAAUUCAGUGCCACAAGGGGCAGUAAAACAUGUAGCAGAAUGGAAACAGACUUUCGAUAAUUGGCGUUAUCGUGUGUUUUUGUACGCUCGAUACAAUUCGAAAAUCACAGGUACCGAUGCCUUAAAUCCAAAAAGCUUCAAGCCCUUCACACAAACGGAUAAGCGCGCUUAUCACUUUUGGAUAAGAAACCCUGAUACGGCUCCACCUGAUUUGGAAAAAAUGCGAAAUGUGUUCGUGAAUCUAGAGGACACUCAACAAGAAUAGUUAGGUAGCACUAAAAAUAAACUAUAGAAUCGGUAGCACAUGUUAAUUGAUAAUCCUAUUUUUCAAUAAAACUCAUAAUUUUUGUCAUAGGAA